CGGCGGACGGGUGAGUAACGCGUGGGUAACCUGCCCCAUACCGGGGGAUAACACUUAGAAAUAGGUGCUAAUACCGCAUAAGCGCACAGCUUCGCAUGAAGCGGUGUGAAAAACUCUGGUGGUAUACGAUGGUUCCGCGUCUGAUUAGCUAGUUGGUGGGGUAAUGGCCUACCAAGGCAACGAUCAGUAGCCGGCCUGAGAGGGUGAACGGCCACAUUGGGACUGAGACACGGCCCAAACUCCUACGGAAGGCAGCAG
rnacentral:rRNA from 1 species